rnacentral:rRNA from 1 species
UACGGGAGGCUGCAGUGGGGAAUAUUGCACAAUGGGCGAAAGCCUGAUGCAGCUAUGCCGCGUGUAUGAAGAAGGCCUUAGGGUUGUAAAGUACUUUCAUCGGGGAGGAAAAACAAAACUAAUAAUUUUAUUUCUUGACGUUACCCGAAAAAGAAGCACCGGCUAACUCCGUGCCAGCAGCCGCGGUAAUACGGAGGGUGCUAGCGUUAAUCAGAAUUACUGGGCGUAAAGAGCACGUAGGUGGUUUUUUUAAAGUCAGAUGUGAAAUCCCUGGGCUUAACCUAGGAACUGCAUUUUGAAACUGAAAUACUAGAGUAUCGUAGAGGGAGGUAGAAUUCUAGGUGUAGCGGUGAAAUGCGUAGAUAUCUGGAGGAAUACCUGUGGCGAAAGCGGCCUCCUAAACGAAUACUGACACUGAGGUGCGAAAGCGUGGGGAGCAAACAGGGAUUAGAUACC